GUAUUGCAGUGUAUUACAUUUGGAUUGGAAAGCUGUGGCUGCAAUUUCGAGAAUGGGACAAUCAAGCAGCAAACAGUGGAUACUGCUUGCCGCAGGAUCUAAAGGCUGGGAUAACUAUAGGCAUCAGGCUGAUGUUUGCCAUGCAUAUCACAUUGCACGAAAAAAUGGAAUUCCAGAUGAGCAGAUAGUGGUUAUGAUGUAUGACGACAUUGCCUAUCAUGAAGACAAUCCUUGUAAAGGUGUUGUCAUUAAUGUACCUCGUGGGGAAAAUGUUUACCAGGGAGUUCCUAAGAAUUACACUGGAGAUGACGUGUCUGCAGAUAAUUUUCUAGCAGUACUCCGUGGAGAUGAAUCAGCUGUCACAAGAGAGGAACUAAAAAAGUUAUAGAGAGUGGAUGUGAUGAUACCAUUUUUAUCUACUUAUCAGACCAUGGCAGCCAAGGGAUCUUUUCAUUUCCUAAAACCCAUUUAUACACCUCAGACUUAAUUAAUACCAUUGGAGAAAUGUCAAGAAAUAAGAGAUUUUCAAAGAUGGCGGUUUUUGUUGAAAGCUGCCACUCUGGUUCAAUGCUCAACAGUCUGCCAGAAAGCAUCAAUGUGUAUGGAGUUUGUGCAAGCCUCCCAAGCCAGAAAUCCUAUGCAUGUUUCUAUGAUGAAAAAAGAAACACUUUUCUUUCAGAUGUAUUUAGCAGAUUGUGGAUGGAGCACACU